UACGUAGGGUGCGAGCGUUAAUCGGAAUUACUGGGCGUAAAGCGUGCGUAGGCGGUUCGUUAAGUUCGUUGUGAAAGCCCCGGGCUCAACCUGGGAAUGGCAAUGGAAACUGGCGGGCUGGAGUAUGGCAGAGGGGGGUGGAAUUCCGCGUGUAGCGGUGAAAUGCUUAGAUAUGUAAUAGAACACCGAUUGCGAAGGCAGUUCACUAUGCUUGUAUUGACACUGAGGCACGAAAGCGUGGGGAUCAAACAGG
rnacentral:rRNA from 1 species